rnacentral:lncRNA from 1 species
AGAUCAUUAAGGGUCAUGUCGUGAUCUAUCAUCAUGGAGUGACUAGAGAACCAAGUCAACAACCAGCUACCUCGAGACUUUGACACCUGAAUCUCCUGGCUUGUCAAUAUGGGACUUAAUCUCCAAGACCUAUGAACAUAUAGACUUUGUUUGCCAAUAGGGAUUGAGUGACUUAGAAUUUAUCAGGUCUUGAAACUUGUGGGAUAGGGAGAUUUAUUAGAGGAGGUGGAGGAAGCGAAGUAUGAUUUCCAUGUUGGGUUUUGAGCAAUCUAACACUCCUAAGUGUACAUGCAACCCUAAAUACCUUGGAUCUAUGUUUUCUCUAUUAUACAUCCAAUUAUGAACUUUCCAAGGUAUUGUUCUAUUCUAGCAUACAAAACUUUGAAUAACACAAGUUAGAAUACCAUACCUUUUGUUGGUGCUUGUCUUCAUGAAGCUUGAGUGCCUAGUGCCCCAAGUGUGACACCUCAAAUGGUUCACACAACACCAUAAGCACUUGGAAUAACUUAGAGAGAAAUUAGAACACUUCAAGAAUUGGCUUGCCCUCCAUGCAUAUCAUAGUCACCAAUUUUCCCAAGAAAGAGAUCAUUAUAUAGUGUGUUACAAUUAGGGUAAACCCUAAUUGUCAUGGCUAUCCAUUUCCAUGGAUCCAUGGGUUCAAAUACACCAUGGAGCAUCCAAUGGGUUUUAGCCCAACUUGAUAAUCCAUGGAGCAUUAGCCCACUAUAUAAGUAUGGAUGAUUUACACAAUCAACCCAUAUAUUUAAUUAGUCUUCUUUUGAUCACAUAAUUAAUUCUAAAUUAAUUAUUGAUCAAUACUAAUUAAAUAAUCUUAUUAAUAUAUUAGAACUUAUAAUAUAUUAAUAAACCUUAAGUGUUAUUUCUCUCAUUUUAGUCUAUCCAAGUGCAUGAUGCCAUGCAACCCAAAUGGACCAUGCCGGGUCGGGUCAAGUCUUACCAAUUAUAGUUAUGGACUUAGACAUUAAUCCAACAGUCUCCCACUUGGAUAAGUCUAAAACUAUUAUUGCAAGUAUGACUUCAGAACCCGACUAGCAAUCGUAGCUCUCAAAAGCUUCUGUCGAUCUCUGACCUUGUCGAUGAACUCUGACCUUUGUCAAUGACUUGUCCAUUAGAUAAGUGAUCAUAUAUUCCUCCAUUCUAGAUAUCAUAUGGACUGAGACAUGGAUUAUAAUCAUUCUCUCUGUCCAUUUGUUGUUUCCCGAUUUCUGAUUUAUGACGACUGACUAAUUGAACAAAUCAAAUCAGUCCAGGCCCGGCCGAGCACUUACUUUUGUCAUCACUAAAUCAUCGAGGGGCCCACAGAUAUCGCUUUUAUCCCUUUGAGGGUAAAAGGAAUGGAUAAACUUCGACUCAUAUGCUUGUACUGAAUACUUGUUGAAUCAUACACGAAGGCACGUUUUAUAGCAUCGAGUUACCACUGCGUUUUCGUACAAUCAAUGUAUAACCAACUCAUAGGCAACAACUCAUAUCUCUAGGUUUGAAGAAUAUAAGAUAUUAUCGUCUCAUGAUUCACUCGUGAUAAAAUCCAUGAAGUGAAUCCAAAUGAGCGUGGGUUGAAUCCAAUACUCAGCCCUUAUGAGUACUCAUGAAUGUUGUAGCAACUAUUGCAUUGUCUAAAGCACUUUAGACAAAUCAUACAAGCCAAAUUCACGACAGUCUUGAUUCAUAUCUACUUCCAACAUAUGACCGACUGUGGAUGGUUUGAAUAACUUGGUCAUUCAGGAGAAUGACCUAGUUAUUCUGGAAGUCAAAACAUGCAAAGUGAAACACAAAAUAAUACUAGUCCUAUAUGGCCUCAACACUUGCAGCUUAAAUAAAACACCUUUUAUCUAAGCACCAUAUUGAUCACUCAUUAUUCAUGUUUCGAUUAAUCAACUUAAUACUUGAAUUGAAACAGUAGUGAUGCCAUGCUCCAAGCAUGCAUAAUAUGUUUCUCUAAACAAUAGCUAUGUCAUACUUCAAAUAUGCACACUAUGUUUACAUAUGGUCAUCUCUUUGUGAAAUGUAUAUCAAUUGAACAUGACUUCAAUGAUUCUCAUUUCACAAUCCCAAUCCUUAUUGUAAAUGUAAGAAUACCAAGUUCUUGUCAUUUACCGUAAUCUAUGCAAUGAUCCUCUUGUAAUGAUAUUCACACAAGUCACAAAGACUUGGCAACAAACAUCACAAAGUAUUCCAAUGGAAAGCGAUUCCAUGGGGAUGAAGUCUCAAAUUCAAAGUACAUUCCUUUGAACAUCCUUCUUUGCAUUAAGUUCUUUAAUCUUACACAGAUUCAAAGAAUAACUUCCACCUAUGGAAACAAUUCCAUAUUCCCAUCUUGACCAUCACUUUUGAACAAGAGUUGCCUCUUUCCAAAAUAUGUCAAUACGAUCCUUACUCUAUACUUCCAAUUGUCCAUGAGUAACCAAACUUUGGAAAACCCCAAAUUGUUCUCGACAAUUGCUUAAUCAUCUUAGUCAUAUCCAGUUCUAAUCCCUUUUCCCUUCUUAACGCCCUAAGCAUUAGGAAAAUUUAGAAUGGAUGAAUAUUAUAACACAUGCAAUCGAUCCUAUAUCCGAAGCAUAUGGGAUACGAUUCAUGCUAUAAAAUUUUUAUUUGCCAUGUUCUCAUAAUUCGAACUAUGAAGAGGGAUGCCGUAAUCAUAAUCGAAUUUUGAGAAAGCAACAUAUAUAGAAAUUCCUUAUGUUGAACCAUUCCAACAUAACAUUCAUAUAUAUUCUUGACUAAAGUUGAUUAAAAUCUCAAUCUAAGCUUGUAGAAUUGGAAUGAAGUAUAAAUUUCUCUCCCUUAAUUAUAGUAAAACAACUUUUUCAAAGCGAGUUGAAACUUUUGUUUUCUAUAAUUAACAUUGCUAACUUGCAACAUAAUCAUCAUGCUCCCACUAGCAUAAUGAUUAUUAUCUAACUAGCAUAACACUUUAUGCUCCCACUAGCUUUGACAUGUACCUAGAAAUCAGUCAGAUUUCUGAUACUAGAUUGCCUUGAUAAGACUUUAUCAAAUCAUACACCUGGAGUCUAAACCUUUCCUUAGAUAGCUCACAUGUGAGUCUAAACCUUUGCCAUUCUCAUUAGUUAGUGUGCCGGUUAACCACACACGCUCCACUAACGACAUGAGAAUGCAAACUUCACACUUGCUAUCCACUUAAAUCUACUUAGUGAAAGAGUUUCCUCACUAUCAUUUUCAUGAAUCGGAGAGAAACCUUAUGACACUUAGAUUUUGAUGGUGUAUGUGUUCCUAUCCAUGUGAAUUUGACAUAACCAUAAUCACACGACAAGGUUAAUGACAAAUCCAAAUUCAUAUGGACUGAACUUGUGCAGUCUUAAUUUCUUGCCACCUGGUAGCACAAGGGCCUGCCAUUGCUUCCAAGUUGUUAUGCAACCAGUUGAGAACUCUCAGAACUCCAAUGCAAAACCAACUUUAACUGGAAUGGGCACAGAAUAUGUCAACACGAUAGGUUACAAACCUCAAGUCGUGGUCUAGUGAUUAACAAAACUCUUGAUUAGUUCUUGAAUCUAUCUUAAGAUCCUUUUAAGACUCCCACUGACCUCUUGACAUAUAAGAUUCUCUUUGUCAAGAACCAUUCCUUGACAAAAACGAAUAUUCAAGAGUUAGUGCAGAUUCUUAUCAAGUUAAACACUUCUCACAAUUGGUCUUAGUUGGUCUUUGUUUUAUCCAAAACAUCACAACUUACCAAUUUCAAAUGUACAAGAGUAAGAACACAUUUUACUCUACAUUUAACAAGUGUUUUAAACCUUUCUUAAGAUUAUGUCACUCAAGGCUUAAUCUUGGAGUAUGACUCUAAGAUUUAAUUUUGGAACGAAGUAUAAUUUAUCUUUUGAUCUAACCAUUUCAACAAUUCACGAUUCCUCUCCUUAGCCAAACAAAAUGAACUAAGGUGUCCUUAGAGGAUCAAUUGUGACAUGGUUUCAUAAUCACUAAGAUAAUCAUAAAACAAGAUACUCAAGUACUCUCCCAUCUCUUCAGAUUAGAGAAACUUUUAUCUUUCUGCCUUAUUUGAUUCUUCUUACUCAUUAUGUCUAUCAUUGAAACUUCUCCAAUGAUCCAGAACUAUACUUAAACUUGUAAGUAUAACCAUAUUUACUAAACUUUAGUAAAUCAUAAUGAAUAAUCUUAUCAACUUUGUGGUGGACCUGAUCAGCGCACACCCAAGUGUAUCCGAUCCCUUUGUCCUUCACUUGAUUCACAUAUACAUGUGAACAAGGAAUUAGACUUAAUUUCCCAAAUAUAAAAAAAAUUCUCAUGAUCAUACAAUACAAGUUGCAUGAUUCCAAGUUUCUAUCCAACUGAAACUUGGGUGAUGAGAAUCUUUCCUUAUUUGGUAAAUUAUGACACUUCCACUAAUGAAAGAAUCAAAUCCAUUUACCCAUAUUGCUUAUCAAUGGAAACAUAUAAUCAACAAUUUUUCACAAAUGCCAUUGUAAGGAUACUUAAAAUAAAUAAAAUCAAAACCAUUUUUCUUUUUAUUUUAAAACUUUGCGGAAAAAUUUAUCCUUACAAUCCAUAUGGAAAACUUGUUGUUAUCUAUUCCUAAGCAAUAUAUCAUAACUCUUAAGUAACAACUCAAAAUUCUGAUCACCGAACCAUGCGAUCGAAAUCCAUCUUCGCGAUCAGAAUCAGCAUAUACUUCCUUUAAGUUUCUUCACCUUUUCUUUGAUUCUUAAAACAUCAACAUGUGACCUCGUCACAUUAUGCAAUAAGAAUCUCAGAAUAGAAACUUAAUAGAGUUAGACAAUGGACUUUACCUGAAGUAGAGUCAAACCUAUUGACUUUACCAUCCUUAAGAUGUUUCAGGUAAAUUUAGCAGCUUCGCAACCAAUGUCUUUCCUUUGGCAACAGAAUCAUAUGGACUCUUUGGAAACGCUACAUGGGAUUAUCACAUACUUAACCUUUCUCUUUACCAUUUGGUCAACCGAGUUGACUAUGGCCGAUCCCUUUCCAUUGGGAAGAAAAAAAGUUUCCUGGACCUCAAAUGUCACCAUUUUCAAUGUCCAAGUAGGUUUGGAAAGUAGAUCUUCCAAUCCAAUUUGCUUUACUAAUGCUCCAAAUCAUUGCUGAUUUAACAUCAUCAAGCAAAUAGGUAAGAUCAUUAAGGGUCUUGUCGCGACCUGUCAUCUGGGAGUGACUGAAGAACCAAGUCAGCAGCCAGCUACCUCGAGACUUCGACACCCGACUCUCCCGACUUGUCAAUAUGUGGCUUAAUCCCCAAGAUCUAAGCACAUAUGGACUUUGCUUGCCAAUAGGGAUUGAGUGACUUAGAACUUAUCAAGUCUUAAAACUUGUGGGAUAGGGAGAUUUAUUGGAGGAGGUGGAUGAAGUGAAGUAUGAUUUCUAGUCCCACAAAUGCCCAACAAAGGGA